rnacentral:rRNA from 1 species
UACGAAGGGGGCUAGCGUUGUUCGGAAUUACUGGGCGUAAAGCGCACGUAGGCGGAUUGUUAAGUCAGAGGUGAAAUCCCGGAGCUCAACUUCGGAACUGCCUUUGAUACUGGCAAUCUAGAGUCCGGAAGAGGUUAGUGGAAUUCCCAGUGUAGAGGUGAAAUUCGUAGAUAUUGGGAAGAACACCGAUGGCGAAGGCAGCCAUCUGGACCGGCACUGACGCUGAGGCGCGAAAGCGUGGGGAGCAAACAGG